rnacentral:lncRNA from 1 species
GCACGGUGGUCAGCGUGCAGCGGGACGGGACUGGCCCUGCCCAGCCAUGAAUCGCUUGGCCAUGCCUGGAUCUGUUUUGUUUUGGUUUUUGGUUUUUGGGUCAGGGUUUCACUGUGUUGCCCAGGCUAGAGUGCAGUGGUGCCACAGCUCACUGUGACCUUGACCUUCUGGACUCAAGUGAUCCUCCUGCCUCAGCUUCCCAAGUAGCGGGGAUCACAGGCAUGAGCCGCCACACCCGGCCAUCACACCUGGAUUUUCAGUGGGAGGUUUUUGGUUUGGAGACAUCCAAAGCCUGAAGCCAGGUGCCCUGCCUGAGUUGUGUGCAUCCAGGGGCCUGGUGAGCCCCCAGGCUGGUGGCAUGGCCCCCCUGCCCCGUGCU